rnacentral:lncRNA from 10 species
GACUCCCACCAAGGGAGGGAGAGCUUCAGGACGCCUGCUGGGUUCUCGGGACUCCCCUUCAGAUCCGAUUUUGGCCCCUUCCAAGUGAGAUAGGAUGGGCUCACCACACCUGAUGUGGCAGGCAGGGCCUCGCUGCAGCACAGAUCGAUACCAUGGGUCUUAAGGCGUGUUGUCAGCUGAAAAUUCACUGAUCCAUCAGCCCUCUGCCUCCCUCCUCCUUUGAAAGAGCAGUGUGCCCCGCUUCUAAAAGCUCUGGGCCUCUGGAAAGCUGAGAGUGCUUUACAGGACACGUGCAAACAGGAACAGGGGUGAAUCCGAGGUGGAGACCAUGUGGCCAGGCAUGGUACUGGUGUAUCCCAGAGCAGAUGGUGUGAUUGUGUGUCACCGGAGGCAUAUGGGGUGACAGUGAAACAAACGGUGGUGUUCAUGCUUGUGCCCGGUGGACAGUGCACAUUUGGCUUAAUGCUGAAAUGAGUUAAGACUUUGGGGGACUGUUGGGAAGGCUUAAUAAGUUUUGAAAUGUGAGGAAAUGAGAUUUGGAGAGGACAUGAGAUUUGGAGGGGCCAGGAGUGGAAAAAUAUGGUUUGACUAUGUCCCUACCCGCAUCUCAACUUGAAUUGUAUUGCUCAGAAUUCCCACGUGUUCGGGGAGGGAACCAGGGGGAGGUAGUUGAAUCUUUGAGGCCGGUCUUUCCCAUGCUAUUCUUGUGAUAGUAGAUAAAUCUCACAAGGUCUGAUGGGAUUAUUAGGGGUUUCGUCUUUUGCUUCUUUUGCCUCCUUUUCAUAUUCUCUUGCCGCUGCCAUGUAAGAAGUGCUGUUCAACCGCUGCCAUAACUCUGAGGCCUCCUCAACCAUGUGAAACCCUAAAUCCAAUUAAGCCUCAUUUUCUUCCCUGUCUCAGGUAUGUCUUUAUUACCAGUGUGAAUGUGGACUAACACAUUUGGUAUUGUCAAACUUCUUAAUAAUUGUGGGGAGAAUAGAUGUGUAGUAUCUUGGCAUUUUCCUGAUUACUAAUGAGUUGAGAAUUUUUUGUACAUUUUGCGGGCUUUCUCUUUUGUGAAAUCCCUAAUUGAUGUCUUUUCCCAAUUUUCUGUUGGGUUGCUAUUUUUAAAAUUAAUUCAUAGGAGCUCCUUAUACUUAGUUGAUCUGAUUUGAAUCUUUCAUAGGUUUUAGAUACUGCAAAUAUCUUCUAAUUUAUAGUUUAUCUUUUCACUUUUUUACUUUUAUUUUUAAAUUUCUUUUUCUUUUUCUUUUUUUUUUUUUUUUGAAACAGAGUCUAGCUCUGUUAUUCAGGCUGGAGUGCAGUGGCUCACUGCAACCUCCACCUCCUGGGUUCAGAUGAUUCUCGUGCCUCAGCUUCCCAAGUAGCUGGGAUUACAGGUGUCUGCCACUAAGGCCAAGCUAAUUUCUUGUAUUUUUAGGAGAGAUGGGGUUUCACCAUGUUGGCCAGCCUGGUCUCAAACUCCUGACCUCAGGUGAUGUACUGUCGGGAUUACAGGAUUGAGACACCGUGCACAGCCUAUCUUUCCACUUUUUGAUGUAAAAAGUUCUUAAUUUUGUGUUAGUCAAAAUGUCUAAUCUUUUUUAAUGGUUAAAUGGCUUUUUGUGUCUCAUUCACUUACAUUUUCUACUAAAAGUUUUAAAGUUUUGUUUCUGACAUGUAAGUCUUUGGUCCUCUGGAAUUUAAUGUUUGUAUAUAGAGUGAAGUAGGAAUAUAAUUUCAUUUUGUUUCUUAUAUCAAUAACCAUUAUUUUUCUAUUCUAUUUAUUGAAAAGUCCUUUCUUUCCUUACUGAUCUGCCAUGUCACCUACAUCACGUAUCGAAGAUUAAAUUUGUAGAGAUUUGCUUGGGAGCUCUCUAUUCUGUUUCAUUAGUCAGUUUAUCAGUGAGGACCACACUGUCUUAAUUGCUGUAGCUUUAUAAAAGUUCUGAUAUUUGGCAGGACAAAUCUUUCCUCUUCUUCAAUGUCUUUGAUAUUCUUGGACCU